AGAGUUUGAUCCUGGCUCAGGAUGAACGCUGGCGGCGUGCUUAACACAUGCAAGUCGAACGGUGAAAGAGAGCUUGCUCUCUGGAUCAGUGGCGAACGGGUGAGUAACACGUGAGCAAUCUGCCCCUGACUCUGGGAUAAGCGCUGGAAACGGCGUCUAAUACCGGAUACGAGCUGCGAAGGCAUCUUCAGCAGCUGGAAAGAAUUUCGGUCAGGGAUGAGCUCGCGGCCUAUCAGCUUGUUGGUGAGGUAAUGGCUCACCAAGGCGUCGACGGGUAGCCGGCCUGAGAGGGUGACCGGCCACACUGGGACUGAGACACGGCCCAGACUCCUACGGGAGGCAGCAGUGGGGAAUAUUGCACAAUGGGCGCAAGCCUGAUGCAGCAACGCCGCGUGAGGGACGACGGCCUUCGGGUUGUAAACCUCUUUUAGCAGGGAAGAAGCGAAAGUGACGGUACCUGCAGAAAAAGCACCGGCUAACUACGUGCCAGCAGCCGCGGUAAUACGUAGGGUGCAAGCGUUAUCCGGAAUUAUUGGGCGUAAAGAGCUCGUAGGCGGUUUGUCGCGUCUGCUGUGAAAACCCGAGGCUCAACCUCGGGCCUGCAGUGGGUACGGGCAGACUAGAGUGCGGUAGGGGAGAUUGGAAUUCCUGGUGUAGCGGUGGAAUGCGCAGAUAUCAGGAGGAACACCGAUGGCGAAGGCAGAUCUCUGGGCCGUAACUGACGCUGAGGAGCGAAAGGGUGGGGAGCAAACAGGCUUAGAUACCCUGGUAGUCC
rnacentral:rRNA from 1 species